UCUUUUUUCCAGCUGACAGAACCGUGCGACACAGUCCGUUGGACGGAAACGCACAUCAGGAUCUCAUAAUUUAAUGCGGUGCAGCCAGCGUGCAUCGCGCUCGGGGAAUACUGUCAUUUCUCUAAUAACAAUUUAACGUUGCACGACUUUCGCCUGGCGUAAAGUGAAAAGUUCUUGUUCGCGAAAGAGCAACACCGUUGUUCCAAAAAUGAGCGUGCACGAGCCGCGGAGCAUUCGGGCUAGAACCUCGAUCCAUUAAACAAUUUGAAAAUGUUCCAUGGAGCGCUCGUUGACAAACUGACAGCGUUCCUGGUAUUUGGUGACAGGAAUAUUCUUUCGCAAAAGAGAAAGCAUUACCGUUUCGCCAAACGACUGGUGAUAGAUAAAAAUUCAUUCGGAUUAGUCAAAUUAAUUGAAUCUAAAUCGUUUGAAUUUAAGUAGCAUGAAAUAUUGAAUUAUAUUUUUAAAUCGAGAAAUAUAUCAAAGAAUCUGUAUUUUAUCUAAAAUUUGCAACGAUAUUUUUAAGCGAAUAACAGUUUCAUAUUGGAAAAGAAGUUUCGAGUUGCUUAAAUUCAAGUCACUUAACUGUAGUAACCUGAACGAGGCUUCCCGAGAGAGGAGGAAAACAGUGUUUCAACUAUAAAAUGACAGGAGAUUUUGUUAGUGCGAAACCACUGGAGGGAGAAAUACGAGGAAAUAAAGUGCAGAAACGCUGCUAAAAAUUGGAAAAUCGUGAUAGCGACGACAGGGAUUUCAGUUUUACAGACCUUCUUUGUGAAUUCACGGAUAGAAUACGAGUGCCGACUAAUCGUGGGACCACGCUGA